rnacentral:misc_RNA from 1 species
UUGCGAAAACCUCUUAUAAAACUAUAUUCAAAUACAAUAGAUAAUAAUAUUUAUCAUUCAUAUUUCCUUUAUAAAUAGAGUUAGCACUUCUCUUCUUAAAUGUCCAGGUAUACUUUAAUAACUUAAUAUUUUCCUAGCCGAUGUUUUUCUCUAUCGGACGCCGUAUUCAAUAAGAUCGCUAUAGAUAAGAUCAACACAACUUGUAACCAAUGAGAGGUGCCCAAUAAUAUCAAUUCAUUUUGGCUCGACAUUUCAAUAGCGAAGUAGCACGGAUGCAAUUCUUUCCUUACUGUUUUAUAACUCUGGAUAAUAGUCUGAUCCGAUAAAUAACUAGAUAUCCUUGAUAAAAGCUUGACAGAACACAGUAAGAAACACUCUUCAAACUCGUUUGUAAAGCGUAUAAAUACAAUGAGAUUAUCACCCGUUUUAAUUAUUUUUGGUACACUGUUUGUUUUAAUCAAUACAAAAUCGGCAAUAAUAUCUAUAGAUGGAAAAACAGUAAAAUAUUCUGGAGAUAGUUUGAAUGUAGUUAUUGAAUAUGUAAAUAAAGAUUUAUUUUGUCGAAUUGAUUCAGCUUAUUUGGAUCCAUGUUUUACAUUAGUUGGAGCUUCGUCAGCUAUUAUAACUCCUUUAACUGGAUCGGCUAUAUUUACACUUGAUAUACUACUCGAUGAAAAUGUUAUAAACCAUGAGAAUAAAACUAUUAAAGUCACUUGUAAUUUUAAUGAAGGAAUCUUUGAAGAAACUCUAUCAGUUAUGAUUGCAAAACGAAAUCCCAAGUACGAUGUUGGACCAUUCUUUAUGCAAACUGUAUAUGAUUUCUCUCAUGGAGUAUAUUCUGAUAUUUGCUACUAUUUAAGUUCAUUUUGUAAGAAGAGGCAUUUAAAACUUUAUCAGGAUCGUCAAAAGAAAUUCUCUAUUCAAGCUCUCCUCUCAAAGCAAGGGAAAAUCAGCAAUGUAUUUAUUAAUUCUACAUUUAUGAAUAUUAAAAUAAGUCCACGUGCAAUAAUUGUUGAUAAAUAUUAUAGUAUUGACUGGAAUGAUUGUCUAGAGGUAUUUCAGUUGAACUCGCCAAAAAUUUCUCUUUUCUGCUAUGAUAAUACCUUGAAGAUAAAGUUAAUUGAUCCAAAUUCAACUGGCGGAUAUCCGCAGAUAACGUUUAGAAAACUAAAACUCGAUAAAUUGAAUUACUAUAUUGAGAUUUAUUCAAUUGCUGUAAACGAUUACCAAAAUGUUGAAGGUUUAUUUGGUCAAGUUGGUAAAAGUCAAUUUGAAUUUUUCAAACGUCAAGGAAGACGAAUGGUAAAUAAUAGCGAAUCUACUGACAAAACUACUACUUUAAGAGUCAAUAAGAAAUUAACAACAGCAAAAGAGAUUAAACAAGAUAAUCAAUUUUGCUGGCUGUUGAAUAUUCAAGAUCUAGUUAAUCUGCAGAAUUUCUAAUUAACAGUUUACAAAAGACUACCAUAAAUAACAGACAUAUCAGAUAAACUGUAAAUGCAAAUUCCAUAGUAUAUGUGUUUGUUUGAAAUGGCAUUUUAUCUUUUUUGUAUAUUUUAAAUAGUUAAUUGACGAGAAGAAAAUUGAAUUUUCAGAAUAAAAUGUUCAUAUUUUACAUUCCUUACUCUAAGUGUCGCGUAUAUCAAAUGGAGGGAAAAUUCUUCACCUUCUUUCACCUUGAAAUGAUACAUAUUUCUUAAAAUUACAUAAAAAAUCGA